UACGAAGGGGGCUAGCGUUGCUCGGAUUGACUGGGCGUAAAGGGCGCGUAGGCGGUUCGUACAGUCAGACGUGAAAUUCCUGGGCUCAACCUGGGAACUGCAUUUGAGACUGCUCUGCUCGGGUGCGGAAGAGGGAAGCGGAAUUUCCGGUGUAGCGGUGAAAUGCGUAGAUAUCGGAAGGAACACCAGUGGCGAAAGCGGCUUCCUGGUCCGACACCGACGUUCAGGCACGAAAGCGUGGGGAGCAAACAGG
rnacentral:rRNA from 1 species